rnacentral:rRNA from 1 species
UGGGGAAUAUUGCACAAUGGGGGAAACCCUGAUGCAGCGACGCCGCGUGAGCGAAGAAGGUUUUCGAAUCGUAAAGCUCUGUCCUAUGAGAAGAUAAUGACGGUAUCAUAGGAGGAAGCCCCGGCUAACUACGUGCCAGCAGCCGCGGUAAUACGUAGGGGGCUAGCGUUAUCCGGAUUUACUGGGCGUAAAGGGUGCGUAGGUGGUCUUUCAAGUCGGUGGUUAAAGGCUACGGCUCAACCGUAGUUAGCCUCCGAAACUGGAAGACUUGAGUGCAGGAGAGGAAAGUGGAAUUCCCAGUGUAGCGGUGAAAUGCGUAGAUAUUGGGAGGAACACCAGUAGCGAAGGCGGCUUUCUGGACUGCAACUGACACUGAGGCACGAAAGCGUGGGUAGCAAACAGG